GACGAACGCUGGCGGCGUGCCUAAUACAUGCAAGUCGAGCGAAGUUUUUCUGGUGCUUGCACUAGAAAAACUUAGCGGCGAACGGGUGAGUAACACGUAAAGAACCUGCCUCAUAGACUGGGACAACUAUUGGAAACGAUAGCUAAUACCGGAUAACAGUAUUAACUGCAUGGUUGAUGUUUAAAAGUUGGUUUUGCUAACACUAUGAGAUGGCUUUGCGGUGCAUUAGCUAGUUGGUGGGGUAAAGGCCUACCAAGGCGACGAUGCAUAGCCGACCUGAGAGGGUGAUCGGCCACACUGGGACUGAGACACGGCCCAGACUCCUACGGGAGGCAGCAGUAGGGAAUCUUCCGCAAUGGGCGAAAGCCUGACGGAGCAACGCCGCGUGAGUGAAGAAGGAUUUCGGUUCGUAAAGCUCUGUUGUUAGGGAAGAAUGAUUGUGUAGUAACUAUACACAGUAGAGACGGUACCUAACCAGAAAGCCACGCA
rnacentral:rRNA from 1 species